UACGGAGGGUGCAAGCGUUGUUCGGAAUUACUGGGCGUAAAGGGAGCGCAGGCGGUCGGGUCUGUCUGAAGUGAAAGCCCGUGGCUUAACCACGGAAGUGCUUUGGAUACUACCCGGCUUGAGUACGCGAGAGGAGAGCGGAAUUCCAGGUGUAGCGGUGAAAUGCGUAGAUAUCUGGAGGAACACCGGUGGCGAAAGCGGCUCUCUGGCGCGUUACUGACGCUCAGGCUCGAAAGCGUGGGGAGCAAACAGGAUUAGAUACCCGAGUAGU
rnacentral:rRNA from 1 species